UUCGCAAUGCCCGAAAGGGUGACGAAGCGACGCCGCGUGUGGGAAGAAGGCCUUCGGGUUGUAAACCACUGUCGGGAGUUAAGAAAUGCAAGGGUGCUAAUAGUAUCCUUGCUUGACUAAGGCUCCGGAGGAAGCCACGGCUAACUCUGUGCCAGCAGCCGCGGUAAUACAGAGGCGGCAAGCGUUGUUCGGAAUUAUUGGGCGUAAAGAGCACGUAGGCGGCUAUGUAAGUCGGUUGUGAAAGCCUUCCGCUCAACGGAAGAACAGCAUCCGAUACUGCAUGGCUUGAGUGCGGGAGGGGAGAGUGGAACUUCUGGUGGAGCGGUGAAAUGCGUAGAUAUCAGAAGGAACGCCGGCGGCGAAAGCGGCUCUCUGGCCCAUAACUGACGCUGAGUGUGCGAAAGCUAGGGGAGCAAACGGGAUUAGAUACCCCGGUAGUCCUAACCGUAAACGAUGGGCACUAAGUAGAGGGGUUUU
rnacentral:rRNA from 1 species